UCUACCUUACUUUCCCCAAUGAAAUUAAAAUGUUUUUAAAUUAUUAGUGCAUAGUGUUUAAUAAUUAACAGUCCAACUAUAAUAAUUUGACAUUCAAAAGACUCUAAUGUAAAAACAUAAAUAAAAAAAGAAUUGGAAGGAAAUGUAACCAAACACAGAGUAUUUUUAGUCUAAACAAUAUUUAUAAAAAGAUAUCGAAAUAAAAAUUACUUUUGUUAAAAAAACACUUUUUCCCACCAAUCCAAACUCAAUUUUUUUUGUUCCAAACAUUUUCAAUAAAAGUUAACAAGUUGAAAAAGGUGGAAUAUGCCCAUCAAAUAAAUUGAUAAUUUGAUCUCUCACCCCAACGGAAAAUUAGAAUUAGAGAAGAUUAAAAAAAGUUUUGCAAUCACUCCCAUUCCCAUUCCCAUUCCCAUUCCCAUAUUCCGAUUGCCAUUACGUUGAUUGUAUUGUGAAGUCAAAGGGUUGCUGGAGGAUCAGUAGAGUUAGCUACAGAAAAUGGGUAUUCCAAAAAUGUAGUUCACAAUUAUUUAACCAUUUUCCCGUAAAACCCAUAAGAUAUUUUCAAGAAAAACAAUUAAAUACAAAAAAGAAUGGGGGAAAAAAAAAAAAAAAAAGGAAAAACAGACCACUCUUAUUAUUAUUUGGUAAUAUUCUGAUAUGAAAUUUAUGUUCACAAUGUUGUGUGUGUUCAAAGUUGAGUAGAUGAUGUUGAUUACACAUUCUGUCAUACCCUCAAUGAAUGUGGCCGCCAAAGCCAAAGAGUUUCACACGCAACAAAACCGUUCCAAACAUAAAUGCAAAAAGAAACUUAGGUCUCCAUAACUAUUUUGCUUUUUUAUCUUUUGAUUUUCUAAAAAUUAAGUAUAUUUCUUUUUAAUUACUUAUAAUGGUUCGAGUUAAAAGAAUGCAGUUUUAAGUCAAACUUAAACAGCAAAAAUAACUUCUUUUUAUUUCUAAUGUUUUUAAAGUUGUAUUAGGUAAUAGGUUUGUUUUUAGUUUUUGAAAAUUUUGCUUUUAUCUUUUUUAUAUUCUUAUUAUACACCAUUUUGAAUUCUUAGCUACAUUUUGUAAGCAUUUUUCCUUUUAUUUUUCAAAUUUUUACGUAGCUCUUAUACACGUCCGUAACAAGUACAUCUACUCUAGUAAUGAAAGUAGUUAUAAAUUUAAUUUUCGAGAACUAGAAAAAAGAAAACGAAAUGGUUACUACUGGUUGGGUUUUAUUUUAUUAACCCAAAAUACCCAGGCUCACUGUACUGUGAAUGGAGGGAAAUAGAGCAGCUACAUUGAUAGACGCUUUACCACAGUACAUAUGCUCGGUGUAGAACGUGAUGAAGGAGAAUAACACAGAUUCAAAAAAUAAUAUAUAUAUAUCAAAGAACGGAUUAAAGGGAGAAAGAAAGCAGAGAAAUUUAAGUGGUUCGGCCAAAAAUGGCUACAUCCACUGUGCAAGGGGUUUUUCUUUUGAUCUCUUUAUUGCCUUUAAAUCUUGAGAGAAUUAAUACAAAGUCAAAAAACUCACUCUCUUCUAAUUUCUUUUUAUAGGCAGAAAUAAAAAAGGAUAGGAAACUGAUGAGAGUUACAACUGAAAAAGGUUUUUUUUUUGGUAUCAA